rnacentral:rRNA from 1 species
GAUGAACGCUGGCGGCGUGCCUAAUACAUGCAAGUCGAGCGAAUGGAUUAAGAGCUUGCUCUUAUGAAGUUAGCGGCGGACGGGUGAGUAACACGUGGGUAACCUGCCCAUAAGACUGGGAUAACUCCGGGAAACCGGGGCUAAUACCGGAUAACAUUUUGAACCGCAUGGUUCGAAAUUGAAAGGCGGCUUCGGCUGUCACUUAUGGAUGGACCCGCGUCGCAUUAGCUAGUUGGUGAGGUAACGGCUCACCAAGGCAACGAUGCGUAGCCUACCUGCGAGGGUGAUCGGCCACACUGGGACUGAGACACGGCCCAGACUCCUACGGGAGGCAGCAGUAGGGAAUCUUCCGCAAUGGACGAAAGUCUGACGGAGCAACGCCGCGUGAGUGAUGAAGGCUUUCGGGUCGUAAAGCUCUGUUGUUAGGGAAGAACAAGUGCUAGUUGAAUAAGCUGGCACCUUGACGGUACCUAACCAGAAAGCCACGGCUAACUACGUGCCAGCCGCCGCGGUAA